GCGGGAGUGGCUCAGUUGGCUAGAGCGCGACCUUGCCAAGGUCGAUGUCGCGGGUUCAAAUCCCGUCUCCCGCUCCA
rnacentral:tRNA from 1 species